AUUGAACGCUGGCGGCAGGCCUAACACAUGCAAGUCGAACGAGUGGCGGACGGGUGAGUAAUGUCUGGGCAACUUCCUGAUGGAGGGGGAUAACUACUGGAAACGGUAGCUAAUACCGCAUACUAUCCGUUGUGCCUAGGUGGGAUUAGCUAGUAGGCGGGGUAAAGGCUCACCUAGGCGACGAUCCCUAGCUGGUCUGAGAGGAUGACCGGCAAAACGGGAACUGGGACACGGUCCAGACUCCUACGGGAGGAGGAAGUGGGGAAUAUUGCACAAGGGGCGAAAGCCUGAUGCUGCCAUGCCGCGUGGAUGAAGAAGGCCUUCGGGUUGUAAAGUACUUUCAGCGGGGAGGCGGUACCCGAAGAAGAAGCACCGGCUAACUCCGUGCCAGCAGCCGCGGUAAUUC
rnacentral:rRNA from 1 species